GAUGAACGCUGGCGCCGUGCCUAAUACAUGCAAGUCGAGCGAACAGACGAGGAGCUUGCUCCUCUGACGUUAGCGGCGGACGGGUGAGUAACACGUGGAUAACCUACCUAUAAGACUGGGAUAACUUCGGGAAACCGGAGCUAAUACCGGAUAAUAUAUUGAACCGCAUGGUUCAAUAGUGAAAGACGGUUUUGCUGUCACUUAUAGAUGGAUCCGCGCCGCAUUAGCUAGUUGGUAAGGUAACGGCUUACCAAGGCAACGAUGCGUAGCCGACCUGAGAGGGUGAUCGGCCACACUGGAACUGAGACACGGUCCAGACUCCUACGGGAGGCAGCAGUAGGGAAUCUUCCGCAAUGGGCGAAAGCCUGACGGAGCAACGCCGCGUGAGUGAUGAAGGUCUUCGGAUCGUAAAACUCUGUUAUUAGGGAAGAACAAAUGUGUAAGUAACUAUGCACGUCUUGACGGUACCUAAUCAGAAAGCCACGGCUAACUACGUG
rnacentral:rRNA from 1 species